AUACGUAGGCGGCGAGCGUUGUCCGGAUUUACUGGGCGUAAAGAGUGCGUAGGCGGAUGUUUAAGUGAGAUGUGAAAUACCCGAGCUCAACUUGGGUGCUGCAUUUCAAACUGGGCAUCUAGAGUGCAGGAGAGGAAAGCGGAAUUCCUAGUGUAGCGGUGAAAUGCGUAGGGAUUAGGAAGAACACCAGUGGCGAAGGCGGGUUUCUGGCCUGGAACUGACGCUGAGGCACGAAUGCGUGGGGAGAAGACAGGAUUAAAUCCCCUGGUAUUCCACGCCGUAAACGAUGGGUACUAGGUGUCGGGGGUCCAACCUCGGUGCCGCAGUAAACACAUUAAGUACCCCGCCUGGGGAGUACGGUCGCAAGAUUAAAACUCAAAGGAAUUGACGGGG
rnacentral:rRNA from 1 species